rnacentral:misc_RNA from 1 species
GAACGCACAUUGCGCCCUUUGGUAUUCCAAAGGGCAUGCCUGUCUGAGCGUCAAUAAAUGAAUCAAACCUUGGUUUGGUAUUGGGAGAAGUGGCAUUGCCUCUCUCCUUUAAGUUAUUGGCGACGCUAUUUCAGCUUGUAAGACGUAGUAAGUAAUUUCUCGUUAAAGCAACUGUAUAGAUGUCUGCCAACUGAACGAUUUAUUUUACAGCUUGAGCUCAGAUCAGGUAGGGAUACCCCCUGAACUUAAG